GAAGCUCUGCCGGGGAGAGGGAGGCGCAGCGCAGUGCCGGAGCUCUUCUCCUCUCCUCUCAACCUGCCCAUAUCUGCAGAGGGUUUCUGCAGCAGAAAACACCGCUGUGAGCUUUUGAGGGAAAUGCAGCUUAGAAUAAAAAUAAUCUCCGAAACUGUGCAGAGGACAACGACAGUUCAAGGCGAAGCUCUGUACCUGGAUGGAAUUCCAGGGCAUGGAGAGGUGGACAGAUCUCCCCAUAAGCAGCUGCCUAACAGCAAGCUGCUGCCUAACACUGUAAGUAUUUGCUCUCAGUGUAAAACCAUGGGCUUUUUUUUGGUGAAAGUCGUAAGUGGUGGAAUGCAAGAAGUAACAAGUCAUAAUUUCUGCAGCUGCAGGAGCAAAGGUAUCUUGUUAGACAGCUGCAACUGUGAUCUACUGAGAGGGCAUCCUGGUGCCCUGAACAUGGUGUUUCACAUCUAUGAUGCUAAUCUGAAUGUACAAAAUGAGUAUGAACAUUGACACCGCGAUUUCCUUUAUUUUGUCAGACAGUUUAUUCACAGAUAUUUAAUAUAUGGCCAUUUACUUGGAAAGUGUGCACUGCUGCAAUUCCCCCAAACCUCUCUGGAUUGUAACAUUCAGAAAGAUAUUCUGGGGAGGUGGAAUUUUUAAAUAGGUAGGGAGAGGCUUGUGAGAAAGAUGAUGAGAAUAUCUUGUUUGGAGAUGUGAACAUCACCUGUGCAGUAAGAUUUAACUUCCCUACUUCAUAGACAGGUAAAAUCCUUAUUCUACAAGAAAUACCCCAGGCACAUUUAUCUUUCAUUUUUUUUCCCCGUGUGCUGACAUGGCAUAUUCACUGUCCUACACAUAAACUGCUUCUGUAAUACUUCCAGAAAAGCACUGCUGGAUGUGUGUCUGGGUGGCCCAGGCAUUUGGCAAAGUAAUUUCAACUAUUAGCUACAGGUUUGGUUUGCUUUAUGUUAGUGUUUUUACACAACUGAUGCUGACUUGUACUAGAAUUCUGUAGUGUUCUUCACUGGUGUUUUCCUACUACUAGAGGUCUGUAAAAGUCUUCCCUUGUCAGAAAGGGCUUCAUUUUGGAAAACCAAAACAAAAUGAUAUGAUUUUCAGGAUAACUUUCUUGGAUAAUAAAGUGUUGUAUAACACAAUGUGAACA
rnacentral:lncRNA from 1 species